CCCUUAGAUGUCCUGGGCCGCACGCGUGCUACACUGACACUUACAACGAGUAUUCCUGUUCCGAAAGGCUACAGGUAAUCUAUAAUAAGUGUCGUGAUGGGGAUAGAUCUUUGGAAUUAUAGAUCUUGAACGAGGAAUUCCUAGUAAGCGCAAGUCAUCAUCUUGCGCUGAUUAAGUCCCUGCCCUUUGUACACACCGCCCGUCGCUCCUACCGAUUUCGAGUGAUCCGGUGAACUAUUCGGACUGUGCUAGCAGUAGCGUAGGAAGUCUCGUGAACCUUAUCACUUAGAGGAAGGAGAAGUCGUAACA
rnacentral:rRNA from 1 species